CGCAGCCGCGGUAAUUCCAGCUCCAAUAGCGUAUAUUAAAGUUGUUGCAGUUAAAAAGCUCGUAGUUGAAUUUCGGGAUUAAUAUGUUGGUCGUGCCUUGGUACGUACUGGCAUUAUUGAUUCCUACCUUCUGAAGAACCUCGAUGUCAUUAAUUUGGUGUCUUGGGGAAUCAGGACCGUUACUUUGAAAAAUUAGAGUGUUUAAAGCAGGCUCGCGCUUGAAUACAUUAGCAUGGAAUAAUGAAAUAGGACGUUUGAUUCUAUUUUGUUGGUUUCUAGGAUCGACGUAAUGAUUAAUAGGGAUAGUUGGGGGCAUUAGUAUUCAAUUGUCAGAGGUGAAAUUCUUGGAUUUAUUGAAGACUGACUACUGCGAAAGCAUUUGCCAAGGAUGUUUUCAUUAAUCAAGAACGAAAGUUAGGGGAUCGAAGACGAUCAGAUACCGUCGUAGUCUUAACCAUAAACUAUGCCGA
rnacentral:misc_RNA from 1 species